AAACAAAAACCUGAGAGGAGUUCCCAUGGGGCCCUUGUGCAGUGGUCGUAAACAGCAACCUCCUUAGUGUAUACAGCUGGUUGCCUGUAUGGUUGUCCUAAGGGACCUUGGAGACUAUU
ensembl:snoRNA LOC120096104 small nucleolar RNA SNORA70